UACGUAGGGUGCAAGCGUUAAUCGGAAUUACUGGGCGUAAAGCGUGCGCAGGCGGUGAUGUAAGACAGGUGUGAAAUCCCCGGGCUUAACCUGGGAACUGCAUUUGUGACUGCAUCGCUGGAGUGCGGCAGAGGGGGAUGGAAUUCCGCGUGUAGCAGUGAAAUGCGUAGAUAUGCGGAGGAACACCGAUGGCGAAGGCAAUCCCCUGGGCCUGCACUGACGCUCAUGCGCGAAAGCGUGGGGAGCAAACAGG
rnacentral:rRNA from 1 species